CUCCGACUCAGAGAGUUUGAUCCUGGCUCAGAUGAACGUUGGCGGCGUGGAUUAGGCAUGCAAGUCGAGCGCGAUAUGUAGCAAUACAUGGAGAGCGGCGAAAGGGAGAGUAAUACGUAGGUAUCUACCCUCGGGUCUGGGAUAGCAGCGGGAAACUGCUGGUAAUACCAGAUAACGUCUCCGGACCAAAGGUGUGAUUCCACCUGAGGAGGAGCCUACGGCCUAUUAGCUAGUUGGUAGGGUAACGGCCUACCAAGGCAAAGAUGGGUAUGGGUGUGAGAGCAUGCCCCACUCACUGGGACUGAGACACUGCCCAGACACCUACGGGUGGCUGCAGUCGAGAAUCUUCGGCAAUGGGCGAAAGCCUGACCGAGCGACGCCGCGUGCGGGAUGAAGGCCUUCGGGUUGUAAACCGCUGUCGUAGUGGAGGAAAUGUAGGAGAGUUAUCUCUUCUGCUUGACUAAUACUAGGAGGAAGGACCGGCUAAUCUCGUG
rnacentral:rRNA from 1 species